AAUGUGACUGGCAGAACGCGUGUUGCAUGUGGAGGAUAAAUGCUGCAGUAGAUAUCUCAGAUAGGGGGAUUGAGGUUGCAAUAUUGGGAUGCACAACUAUUUGUAAGUGGAUUUAGGCUAUAUUUAUAAACCAUGAACGUUAUCAAACUAUACUGUUCUUCAAUUUUGGGUAAAGACCACCACCUAGUGUAAUUUUGAUAAAACAGUUUAGGCUAUAGUAAUUAUCCGACAGUGACGGGUUUGGGGCGUUGCCUUUAUAUUACUGGGACCAAUCGGAGAUCUGGCAGAAACUUUGUAAACAAGUAUUGCACGUUGUGUGAAAAACAUUUUCUUUUAUCAUUACAAAGAGAUUUAUCGUUGGAAAAAACGCAGGACUUGAAGACUUCACUAAGGAGCAUCUGAGCGUCUCAGGAAUGGUCUUGGCUGGGCAUGGCUCAUCUCAGGUAAGACUUUAGCUACCAUGGUUUACUUUGUACAUGUGAGCUGCUGUUUUCACAUGGGAAGGCUACUGAAUUCCCCUCUUUGUUUUCAAUGAAGAAAUUCUACCACAGCAAGAAUACUGUAGAUUUUGCAUGUGUUGUACUGUAAGGAAGGAAUAGAAGACAUUCCCUGUCCCUGCAGAUUCCCUCUGGUGAUUUGAUUAGCAUUUGAGAA
rnacentral:lncRNA from 1 species